UACCAGCACCCCGAGUGGUCGGGACGAUUAUUGGGCCUAAAGCAUCCGUAGCCGGUUCUGCAAGUCCCCCGUUAAAUCCAGCUGCUCAACAGAUGGGCCGCGGAGGAUACUACAGAGCUAGGAGGCAGGAGAGGCAAGCGGUACUCAGUGGGUAGGGGUAAAAUCCGUUGAUCCAUUGAAGACCACCAGUGGCGAAGGCGGCUUGCCAGAAUGCGCUCGACGGUGAGGGAUGAAAGCUGGGGGAGCAAAC
rnacentral:rRNA from 1 species